rnacentral:rRNA from 1 species
CCUACGGGAGGCAGCAGUGAGGAAUAUUGGUCAAUGGACGAGAGUCUGAACCAGCCAAGUAGCGUGAAGGAUGACUGCCCUAUGGGUUGUAAACUUCUUUUAUAUGGGAAUAAAAUGUUCCACGUGUGGGAUUUUGUAUGUACCAUAUGAAUAAGGAUCGGCUAACUCCGUGCCAGCAGCCGCGGUAAUACGGAGGAUCCGAGCGUUAUCCGGAUUUAUUGGGUUUAAAGGGAGCGUAGGUGGAUUGUUAAGUCAGUUGUGAAAGUUUGCGGCUCAACCGUAAAAUUGCAGUUGAAACUGGCAGUCUGGAGUACAGUAGAGGUGGGCGGAAUUCGUGGUGUAGCGGUGAAAUGCUUAGAUAUAACGAAGAACUCCGAUUGCGAAGGCAGCUCACUGGACUGCAACUGACACUGAGGCUCGAAAGUGUGGGUAUCAAACAGGAUUAGAUACCCCAGUAGUC